rnacentral:rRNA from 1 species
ACGCAAUAGAUACCCAGGUAGUCCACGCCCUAAACGAUGUCUACUAGUUGUCGGGUCUUAAUUGACUUGGUAAACGCAGCUAAACGCGUGAAGUAGACCGCCUGGGGAGUACGGUCGCAAGAUUAAAACUCAAAGGAAUUGACGGGGACCCGCACAAGCGGUGGAUGAUGUGGAUUAAAUUCGAUGCAACGCGAAAAACCUUACCUACCCUUGACAUGGAAGGAAUCCCUGAGAGAUCGGGGAGUGCUCGAAAGAGAACCUUUACACAGGUGCUGCAUGGCUGUCGUCAGCUCGUGUCGUGAGAUGUUGGGUUAAGUCCCGCAACGAGCGCAACCCUUGUCAUUAGUUGCUACGAAAGGGCACUCUAAUGAGACUGCCGGUGACAAACCGGAGGAAGGUGGGGAUGACGUCAAGUCCUCAUGGCCCUUAUGGGUAGGGCUUCACACGUCAUACAAUGGUACAUACAGAGGGCCGCCAACCCGCGAGGGGAGCUAAUCCCAGAAAGUGUAUCGUAGUCCGGAUUGUAGUCUGCAACUCG